UCUCGCCUGCCCAGUGACUAAAUGUUAAACGGCCGUGGUAUCUUAACCAUGCGAAGGUAGCGUAAUCAUUUGUCUUUUAAAUGAAGACCUGUAUGAAUGGCAAAACGAGGGCUUAACUGUCUCCCUUCCCCAGUCAAUGAAAUUGACCUCCCCGUGCAGAGGCGGGGAUAUAACUAUAAGACGAGAAGACCCUGUGGAGCUUUAGACUUAAAAUAACCCUGUAAUAUGAGCUUCAACACAAGCAUAAACUUAGUGGAACUUAUUUAAAUGUCUUUGGUUGGGGUGACCACGGGGCAAAACAUAACCCCCACGAAGAUCGGGGACAUAUCCCUAAUACUAAGAGACACCCCUCUAAGCAACAAAAUUUUUUGACUUUAAAAAUGAUCCGGUACAACCGAUUAACGAACUCAGUUACCCCAGGGAUAACAGCGCAAUCCCCUCCAAGAGCCCUUAUCGACGAGGGGGUUUACGACCUCGAUGUUGGAUCAGGACAUCCUAAUGGUGCAGCCGCUAUUAAGGGUUCGUUUGUUCAACGAUUAAAGUCCU
rnacentral:rRNA from 1 species